rnacentral:rRNA from 1 species
CCUACGGGAGGCAGCAGUGGGGAAUAUUGGACAAUGGGGGCAACCCUGAUCCAGCAAUGCCGCGUGUGUGAUGAAGGCCUUAGGGUUGUAAAGCACUUUCACUGGUGAAGAUGAUGACGGUAACCGGAGAAGAAGCCCCGGCUAACUUCGAGCCAGCAGCCGCGGUAAUACGAAGGGGGCGAGCGUUGUUCGGAAUUACUGGGCGUAAAGGGCGCGUAGGCGGUCUUUUAAGUUAGGCGUGAAAGCCCCGGGCUCAACCCGGGAACUGCGCUUAAGACUGGAAGACUAGAAAACGGAAGAGGGUAGUGGAAUUCCCAGUGUAGAGGUGAAAUUCGUAGAUAUUUGGAGGAACACCAGUGGCGAAGGCGGCUCACUGGCUCGAUACUGACGCUGAGGUGCGAAAGUGUGGGGAGCAAACAGGAUUAGAUACCCUGGUAGUCCACACCGUAAACGAUGAAUGCCAGUCGUCGGGCAGUAUACUGUUCGGUGACACACCUAACGGAUUAAGCAUUCCGCCUGGGGAGUACGGUCGCAAGAUUAAAACUCAAAGGAAUUGACG